rnacentral:RNase_P_RNA from 1 species
CAGGCGGGCCGGAUGGUCGCCGCCGCCUUCGGGCGGGGGAGGAAAGUCCGAACUCCACAGGACAGUGUGCCGGGUAACGCCCGGGAUCGCAGCGUGAAGGCUGCGAGACGGCCAGUGCAACAGAGAGCAAACCGCCAUCGGCAACGGUGGUAAGGGUGAAAGGGUGGGGUAAGAGCCCACCGCGUCCGCAGCAAUGCGAACGGCACGGUAAACCCCACACGGAGCAAGACCAAAUAGGCGGGAAGCGGGCCUUUCGGGGCCCAAACGCACCGGUCCGGCGCGUCAAACUCGCGGGUAGGUCGCUUGAGCCUGGCAGCAAUGCCCGGCCUAGAGGAAUGACCGUCUAGAACAGAAUUCGGCUUACGGGCCCGCCUGCUGA